rnacentral:rRNA from 1 species
AACUGCAGCAACGCCGCGUGGGUGAUGAAGGCCUUCGGGUCGUAAAGCUCUGUUUGGAGGGAAGAAAUGAUUGGGAG